rnacentral:lncRNA from 1 species
GUCUUUUCGUUGGUUUUCGUGUUUGCCUUGACGUUAAGUUGGUUUCUAUUUAUGAGUUUGAACAUCAGUUCAAUAUCACCGCCGCAUUUUUAGCUAGUGUUUUAUUAGAUAAUACAGAAGAGUAACCUAAAAAGUAGACAUAAGUCCACAUAACCCUCUGCCUCUUUUUUUCUAGUUUUUUUUUUAUCAGAAUAUAUGGAAAAUUAACUUACAAAGUAGACAUAAGUUCACAGAGUAAACUACAUGAU